rnacentral:rRNA from 1 species
AUGUACAUUUAUGCAACAUUAAUGCACCAAAUUCCACAAUAAAUCUGUAGAAAAGUGCACUUGGGAUAGAGUAGUACUGGGAUGGGUGACCUCUCGGGAAGUCCUAGUAUUUUACAUG